rnacentral:rRNA from 1 species
GAUGAACGCUGGCGGCGUGCCUAAUACAUGCAAGUCGAGCGAACAGAUGAGGAGCUUGCUCCUCUGACGUUAGCGGCGGACGGGUGAGUAACACGUGGAUAACCUACCUAUAAGACUGGGAUAACUUCGGGAAACCGGAGCUAAUACCGGAUAAUAUAUUGAACCGCAUGGUUCAAUAGUGAAAGACGGUUUUGCUGUCACUUAUAGAUGGAUCCGCGCCGCAUUAGCUAGUUGGUAAGGUAACGGCUUACCAAGGCAACGAUGCGUAGCCGACCUGAGAGGGUGAUCGGCCACGCUGGAACUGAGACACGGUCCAGACUCCUACGGGAGGCAGCAGUAGGGAAUCUUCCGCAAUGGGCGAAAGCCUGACGGAGCAACGCCGCGUGAGUGAUGGAGGUAUUCGGAUCGUAAAACUCUGUUAUUAGGGAAGAACCAAUGUGUAAGUAACUAUGCACGUCUUGACGGUACCUAAUCAGAAAGCCACGGCUAACUACGUG